CUGGGCUUGAACUGCAGUGGACCGGUGCAGAGAUGUGCCUUUUCGCAAGAACUGCUGCAGAGGUGCUGCAUGGCUGUCGUCAGCUCGUGUCGUGAGAUGUUGGGUUAAGUCCCGCAACGAGCGCAACCCUUACCCGUAGUUGCCAGCGCGUCAUGGCGGGAACUCUACGGGGACUGCCCGGGUUAACCGGGAGGAAGGUGGGGAUGAUGUCAUGUCCUCAUGGCCCUUAUGUCCAGGGCUACACACGUGCUACAAUGGGCGAUACAAACCGUUGCAAAGUCGCGAGAUGGAGCUAAUCGGAGAAAGUCGUCCUCAGUUCGGAUUGUAGUCUGCAACUCGACUACAUGAAGGUGGAAUCGCUAGUAAUCGUGUAUCAGAAUGAUACGGUGAAUA
rnacentral:rRNA from 1 species